GACGAACGCUGGCGGCGUGCUUAACACAUGCAAGUCGAACGGUAAGGCCCUUCGGGGUACACGAGUGGCGAACGGGUGAGUAACACGUGGGUGAUCUGCCCUGCACUUCGGGAUAAGCCUGGGAAACUGGGUCUAAUACCGGAUAGGACCACUGCCUGCAUGGGUGGUGGUGGAAAGCUUUUGCGGUGUGGGAUGGGCCCGCGGCCUAUCAGCUUGUUGGUGGGGUGAGUGCCUACCAAGGCGACGACGGGUAGCCGGCCUGAGAGGGUGACCAGACACACUGUGACUGAGAUACGGCCCAGACUCCUACGGGAGGCAGAAGUUGGGAAGAUUGCACAAUGGGCGCAAGCCUGAUGCAGCGACGCCGCGUUAGGGAUGACGGCCUUCGGGUUGUAAACCUCUUUCAGCACCGACGAAGCGCAAGUGACGGUAGGUGCAGAAGAAGGACCGGCCAACUACGUGCCAGCCGCCGCCGUAA
rnacentral:rRNA from 1 species